AUGUUAGCCUAUGAGGACACGUUAGCCUGUGAGAACAUGUUAGCCUAUGAGGGCAUGUUAGCCUAUGAGGACACGUUAGCCUGUGAGAACAUGUUAGCCUAUGAGGACAUGUUAGCCUAUGAGGACAUGUUAGCCUAUGAGGACACGUUAGCCUAUGAGGACACGUUAGCCUAUGAGGACACGUUAACCUAUGAGGACAUGUUAGCCUAUGAGGACACGUUAGCCUAUGAGGGCAUGUUAGCCUAUGAGGACACGUUAGCCUAUGAGAACAUGUUAGCCUAUGNNNNNNNNNNNNNNNNNNNNNNNNNNNNNNNNNNNNNNNNNNNNNNNNNNNNNNNNNNNNNNNNNNNNNNNNNNNNNNNNNNNNNNNNNNNNNNNNNNNNCCUAUGAGGACAUGUUAGCCUAUGAGGACACGUUAGCCUAUGAGGACAUGUUAACCUAUGAGGACAUGUUAGCCUAUGAGGACACGUUAGCCUUUGAACAAUAUAUUAACAGUAUACUUAGUGUUUGUCCUCUGUAAGAAGUGUAUCUAUGCGUUCAUUGGAAUUUGGGGACUAUUAAUCAUUUAUGCUUUGUGCACUAAAGUUGGAUUGACGCUUCCUGUGUGUCUCGAUUUAUUGCCGUGAUAAUUGCAGCAGGUGCAACACGUAAGAGCUGCGUGAGGCGCGAGAGCACAUCGUUUAUCUGUGAUAGAAUUCAUUAUAACACUUUGCCGCGUAAAAUAAAGACAAAAAGAUCUAAACGAUCUGCCGUCAUUCACGUGAGGAAAUGAAGUCACGUGUCUGCAGCUCAAUGCAGCUUAAUGACGAACAACAUCGAAGGAACAACACUACACACUCGGUUUAAUACUUUAAUACUUUAAUACGCGCUUUGUGUCCGCUGGUGAGCCCGUGGUCUCAAUCGUCUGCCUGCGUCCACAUAACGAGUAGGCAGAUGGCUAACUAGCUACUGUGGCUACGUAAGCGGUGAGCUAUUGUUAGCUGCUGCGAGGACGAGUCAUCACAGUGUGUUAAUAAAGUUUUUUAAUCGGCUCAGGAACCGAAAGCAAGCACCAAAAUCUGCGUUGCGUUUCGGUCGUAUAGGACCGGUAUCUACGUACCUUUCUCGGUACCCGACCCGAGUGAAGACGGGUUAGCCUGUGAGAAAGCGUUAGCUUGUGAACGCAUUAUGACGCGUUGGCGUCAACAAAACUUCUCUGUCUAUCUGUAGUUGUUUUAUUUAGGUCUUUUUGUAGUUGUGUCUCUUUGUAAUUCUUUUGUCUCUCUGUAGUCUGUGUCUCUUUCUUCCUGGUUAUAACAAGUCUCUUUCUGGUUGGUUCUUGACUUCUUGAAAAGAAGUGCUAGCUUUUAGCUUGCAAAAAAACCUGUAAGUAGAUAUUCCUGCAGCAUCACGUGACAUUGUACUUGAGCUCCAGCGUAUGUGGCCGGAGGGAACCGUAACCCCCUCGGGUGGAGUAGGAGAGGUGUAGUGAGUGGAUGUGAGGGUUGGAAGUGUUCUCUCUGUGGAUGAUGUCAUUAGCUCUGACCCUCUCAACGCGCCAUCAGCUGAUUUAUCAGCUGCUGCAUGCAUUAAGUAUUACAUCACAGACGCCACUGCUAGCAGAUUAGCGCUCAGCGCCUCGGCCAUCCAUCCUCUUUCUGUUUCCUGCUCUGCUGGAUGCUGAAUGUCCUCCUGUGGCCUCUUACCUUCUCCCCCCUUUUCCUUUCCAUCAUCCUUCUUUCCUCCUUUUCUUUCCUUCCUCUUCUUUUCCUCUUUUAACUCCCUCCUUUCCUUACUCCCUCUUUUACUUUAUUAUUCCAGUGGCUUUGUGCCUUCCUCCCUCCUUUCCUUUCCUUACUUCUGUGUCCUCUUACCUACCUCCUUCCUUUCCUUUCUGUGGUCUCAUAACUCCUUCCCUCCUUUGCUUCAAUUCCUCAGUCUUUUCCUUCUCUUUUUCCUUAAGGGCAAAGUUCACUCUGGGUGAUCAUUGAUCGCUUUCUCUCUCUGCGGAGUGUGUGUGUGUGUGUGUGUGUGUGUAACUACCAUCCACCCACAGCACCAUGCAUCAUAACCAUAACCUCAGGCUUCAUCAGCUCCACAGGUACUUAUGUGUCUCUGUGCAUGUGGGUAAACUGUGUGUGUGUGUGUGUGUGUGACUACACACCUCUCUACUCACUGACGGUCCAGGUUCUGUCUGAUCUCCACAAAAUGCUCUCCGUGCUCUUCUCUUUAUAAAUAGCAUCGUUCUGAAGCGGCCCCCUCUCACAUGGGUCUCACUGGGGAGGGACGACUGCACACGUCUAAUAACAACAACGGGAUCUUUUCUCUUGUCGCUGCUCGUCUCCGAAUGAAGGCAGAUACGUGAUGAAGGCUCCUCCCAAGCAGAGGUCCUCUGGUAGGAGGAGGAGAAGGUCCCAUCACCUGUUGUCCCUGUUUUAUUUGUGACAGGAGCUGUGUGUACCUCUACUUAUCUAAUUAUAGCAAGACAAUAAGAUUAAGUGUGUAAACACAAAAUGACAACUGCGUUUGUGUUUGAUUAUUGAUGUGUUGGCUGUUCAUUAUGCAACACAACCAAAUGCAUUUUGUGUACAUGGACACAAUUAUUCCGUAUCGUACCAAAACAACUUGUUACACAUCAAAGAAAAGGCAACAAAACCACAACAAAGAACAACGUCUGCGUCCAAAAGGACGUCUUCUGUAUUCAUGGAGACGUUCCUAUGAAACACCAGAGGAGACCUCAUUAAGGCGGCAACGCGCACGCAGUGUGCGUGUGUGUGUGUGUGUGUGUGUGUGUGUGUGUGUGUGCGUGUGCCCGUGUGCCCGUGUGUGUGUGUGUGUGUGUGUGUGAGUGUGUGUGUGUGUGUGUGUGUGUGUGUGUGAGCCCCUGGGAGGGUUAAGUAGGGAAACAGUAGAGAUUGAGGUGGGGAAUUCUCAUCAAAAAUGUCCAAAUCAGGAAAGGUGUCGCCAAAGAGCCCCCCCACAGAGGGAAGUGUGUGUGUGUGUGUGUGUGUGUCUGUGUGUGUGUGUGUGUGUGUGUGUGU
ensembl:lncRNA